GCGCAGCAGUCGCGAAUCCUUCGCAAUGCAGGAACUGCGACGAGGGAACUCCAAGUGCCUACGCUCAGCGUAGGCUGUUCUCAAGCCUAGAAAGCUUGAGGAGUAAGGGCUGGGUAAGACGGGUGCCAUCUGUGGUAGCAGUCAAUAGAUUCGAUUUGUUACUGCAAGGCAUAAGCCGCCGCGGUAAUACCCGCAGCCCAAGUGGUGGCCGCUUUUAUUGGGCCUAAAGCGUCCGUAGCCGGCCCGGUAAAUGCCUGGGUAAAUCGUGGAGCCCAACUUCACGAAUUCCGGGUAGACUGCCGAGCUCGGGACCGGAAGAGGGAGAGGGUACUUCAGGGGUAGGGUGAAAA
rnacentral:rRNA from 1 species